rnacentral:lncRNA from 1 species
GAGAGUUAUAACAUUAACAUAAAUUUUUCUUUCAACUAGACACUGAUGAGAUAUCUCACUUUUAAACCCUUCAGCUCUCUGUAAUUUCAUUACUAUUAUAUUCCACGAGGGAUAUAAUGGUUCGUAUAUCUUGGCAUUUCUUCAUUAACUGAAUUAUCUUUCAUAAUAUUCCAAUUUCAAAUGGGUACACUGUGGAGCCGGUUGGAUGCAGAAUUCCUUCUAGUUCAUAUGUGCUCUCUAAAAUUCAAAGACUGAAUAGUGGUUCUAGCAACUCUUUUGAGGCAAUCUAAGGUAUAAUCCCCCCAUUACUGCUUCUGCUUUAUCCGUUUUACCUUGCAGCAUUUUAGAAUUUGUGAGAAGCUAAAAAUUAUUGAGUCAGAAUUGAGGAUCUAAACUUCUGUAAAAACAUUCAUAUUUUUAAAUCAUAAAGUAUUGCAUCUGAUGCUUUAGGUGGAACAUAGUUCAUUGUGGAAAGGAAAAUUAUGUUGGUUGCAUAACCAGAUGCUUUUCAAGAGAAAAUUUCACUGAUAUUUUUCUGAGGAUUUUUGCUUGGCC